rnacentral:rRNA from 1 species
CAAUAAGCGGAGGAAAAGAAACCAACAGGGAUUGCCUCAGUAACGGCGAGUGAAGCGGCAACAGCUCAAAUUUGAAAUCGGACUCCCGUCCGAGUUGUAAUUUGGAGAGGGUGCUUCGGGUGCGACGCCGGUUUAAGUUCCUUGGAACAGGACGUCAUAGAGGGUGAGAAUCCCGUAUGUGAUUGGCGAUCAACCCCGUGUGAAGUCCCUUCGACGAGUCGAGUUGUUUGGGAAUGCAGCUCUAAGUGGGUGGUAAAUUUCAUCUAAAGCUAAAUACUGGCCAGAGACCGAUAGCGCACAAGUAGAGUGAUCGAAAGAUGAAAAGCACUUUGGAAAGAGAGUUAAAAAGUACGUGAAAUUGUUGAAAGGGAAGCGUUUGCCACCAGACUUGCACGCAGGCGGUCAGCCGUCCUUUGGGGCGGUGCACUCGUUUGCGUUCAGGCCAGCAUCGAUCUUGGCGGUCGGAUACAGGCCUCGGGAACGUAGCACCCUUCGGGGUGCGUUAUAGCCCGGGGUGCCAUGCGGCCAGCCGGGAUCGAGGUCCGCGCUUCGUGCUAGGAUGCUGGCGUAAUGGUGGUAAGCGACCC